AUUGAACGCUAGCGGGAUGCUUUACACAUGCAAGUCGAACGGCAGCGCGGACUUCGGUCUGGCGGCGAGUGGCGAACGGGUGAGUAAUGUAUCGGAACGUGCCCAGUAGCGGGGGAUAACUACGCGAAAGCGUAGCUAAUACCGCAUACGCCCUACGGGGGAAAGCAGGGGAUCGUAAGACCUUGCACUAUUGGAGCGGCCGAUAUCGGAUUAGCUAGUUGGUGAGGUAACGGCUCACCAAGGCGACGAUCCGUAGCUGGUUUGAGAGGACGGCCAGCCACACUGGGACUGAGACACGGCCCAGACUCCUACGGGAGGCAGCAGUGGGGAAUUUUGGACAAUGGGGGCAACCCUGAUCCAGCCAUCCCGCGUGUGCGAUGAAGGCCUUCGGGUUGUAAAGCACUUUUGGCAGGAAAGAAACGUCGCGGGCUAAUACCCCGUGGAACUGACGGUACCUGCAGAAUAAGCACCGGCUAACUACGUG
rnacentral:rRNA from 1 species